ensembl:antisense
GGAGCGGAAUAGUUUCCUUAUCAGAAGCGAUAAUGAGGAAACGACAAUAAUGAUGAAUCAUGGAGGUGGAAACAUCUCAAUAUCCCGUCUGUGGAGUAUCUUCAACUAACUAAGCCACUGCAUAUGGUCCAGAGUAUCAGCUGGUUUUAAUACCUCAUUAUGUGACUGGAAGUUUCACUCCAGACUGUGGAUUAAAGUAGCCAGUUACUUUGUAACCAGUUGCACUCAACACUGGUUGUACAGAGGGAGGAGGAGGGAUGACCUGCAUGUUUUUGAAGCUGAAGUAACACUGAGCACUGAGUAAGUUCUGUCUUUGACUUACCAGACUGCAGCACAGGCUGGAACUGACCAGCCAUGCAGAUCUCAUCUUGUUUCUGGCGCACAAGACGCUGGAUUGCUGGAGGCAGGCCACGGGGGUUACGUGAAAAGACCAGGGAAUAUCCGUCAUCACAUGAGCCAUCAUCCUUCAGAGUGCGGCAAGCAUAGAUUCACAGCCUACCCGAAAAGAGUUACUCGGCCCUUGGACGAGGCAGUCAUGGUUCCAUCAUCAUCGAUUGUGUAUUCGGCAGAGAUGUUGUCCUGGAGGAAGAGUCCCUCUGGGUCUUUCUUCUGCUGAGCGUACCAUUUGCCUGCAUACUACAAAGUAAAAUACACCAGGUCAGGUCAGGCUGUAUGCACUGCAUUAACAAUGAGCAAACGUUUGUCCCCAUUGAGACAAUCAAACAGCAUACAACAUACCCUCUUGGGGUCAAAGUCGUCCUUGACUGUAAAACUCUCUACAGCGCAGGAUGCAGAAAAGCAGCGCUCAAUGUAUGACAGGAAAACCACCAGCAGGGCAAACUUGUAAAAUCCCAUUCUGAGCAGCCGGAGAUGAAAAGAAUGUCAUCUUAUUGGCUAUUUCCAACAGUUAUAACACUAAAAUAAUAUAUAUUUCCAACAGUGUUUUUCAAUAGUUAACCUCACAAUUGUCUAGAUCUUACCUGCUUGUUUUGAUGAUGUCCUGAAUGAAUGAAAGAAUGGUUUUAGUAGUGUAGGAUCCUUCUUUGUGGUUCUCCACAAGGCUGUGUUGUCUAAACUGACCAAGAGCCCUUUUAUACCAACUCCACAGACAGGCUUAUUGAUUAUUUUCACUUCUUGUGACUAAAUAGGGUUCUUAAAUCUACGGUUAAUCCGUUUGUAGAAAUCCUCACUGUAAUCUGGCUUCUCGGUUGAACCCUCCCAUGCUUGCCAUAAAAACAAUUAAAGCUUUAUGCAACUCAGUUGAAUACGGUGAGACUUUGUUUAAGCAAUCCAAUCACAUCUGGAAGCAAAGCUAAAAGAAUCAGUCUGCUAGCAUUAUUUGUGUAAUUGUGUUAUGCACUGCAUUAUGUAAUGUUAUUAGGUUGCUGGCAAUUUCACAAAGUGAAAAAUAGAUUUACAGUAUAGAGUAGUUUUCUCAAGUAAUAUGCAACUCAUAAUAAAUAUUUUUAUAUUUUCAGUCCAAAAAUUGGUCCUUUUCAUCUCUUGAUAGAUGUGAUAGCAAAGAAGAACGUGCUUUGGUAUGCAAGAUACUAUGUUGUAGUGGAAUGAUUGUGCCACAUGUUUCAGAGUUGACAAUGGCCAUCUACUGGCUUUGUGUUGUUUUGAUGAGAUAGAUGUGAUUACAAAGCUGCUUUUUUAUUAUAAGAGUCUGUUAUGUAAGAAGGUACUUGGCACAUUGUUGAAGAUUUAUGUGGUGUGAUCAGUUUCAUAAGGUUAAAGAGGGCCUUUUUAAUAAUAGCAUAUUUGUGUACUAAAAAAAAAGACUUUACCAAACAAAAUCUAGAAUAUACCAUAAUAUAUCUAUGAUUACAUGUUCUCAAUUGUUCCAUUUUUAUUUAUUCAUGUGUACAGUCUCCUAGUUUCCCUCAUCGUUUAAAUUGACACUCUCAAAAAUAAAAAUGGAAAUCUUGU